AGACAGUUUGCAAGGGGGAAAGACAGAGUUAAAAGGGGUCAGCUCAGAACUGAUGAGUGAUGGUCAUAGCUAGCUUAAAUCCCCCCUCCCCACCCUAGAAGGAGGGCUCUGGGAAACCAAUGUUGGAAUUGAGAGGCCAAAGUCUAACUGAUCUGCUGUAAGAGAUUUAAUCAAUGAGAUCCUCACAGGGGUGUCUCAGUUUAAAGUAUUCUGCUUGGGAGGGGGGUCUGACAAGAGCUAGCCAGGGGAGUAGAGGGCAGUGCACUAGCCAGGCCAUGCCACAAGGGGUAUCCGGAGGAGUGGUUGUCUGUCACAGGUGGCAAUGUUUCCCAUUAGCCUGGCAGCCCAUAGCCCCCCAGGCUCGAGGAGAGCAGCUGGCCCUGUUGUGGCAGCCAGUGCCUCGCUCACCCCCCUCCGCCCGCACUGAGGACCCCACGCGGUGACCAUGUGGACAUGCAGAACCUGCAGGCUGUGAACGAGAGUGGGACUCUUGUAUGAGCUGCCACCCAACCUGCGACUCUGCCGCCUUCCCCUACCUCUGAUCUGCACCUCAUCGACUUCAGGGGAGCUGCUCCAUGCGUGAGAGGAGGGCUAGUGGAGCAGGGCAGACAGAAGACCUUCUUCCCCUGCAGUAACCAGCCAGCACCCUGUCCCUUCCCAGCGUGCCUGACCCUCAAGAAAGGCUCGCACUGCAGAGCAAGGGAUUAGGAGCAGAACUGGUCCAGAGAUCCCUAGGCCCGUCUCCUGAGAGCGGCUCCCCUGGCGAUCGAUGGCUCUCUCUGCAGUGGUUGCUGAUUAGCAAACGCUCUCCCCAGAGCUGCGUGCAUUCCUGCUGACAUCAUCAAUCCUACUGGCGCGCCGGCGGAGAAGAAAACAAAAAGAGCCAGCCUGUAGGGUGCACCAAACAGAGCCGGGCAAACGAAUGGGAUUGACGUGGGAUCACGGCUUUGGGAUCAGCUCUAGGAAACAGAGCCCAUGAGUCUGGUUACCCCUCCCUCUCGUC